rnacentral:sRNA from 1 species
AUGCAUACUAUGCCGAAUCUUGUCGAUAUAACUGAUGCGAUGAGUACGGGGGACGCAUUACUUUGGGGUGAAUGUUCUACCGAUUUUUAGAGCAAGGGAAAUCCUCUUCCCGAACCCGUCAACUAACCUCGGAGGCGCAGGAGGAGGGUAUU